rnacentral:rRNA from 1 species
GUUGGGUAGGGGAGCGUUCUGUAAGCCUGCGAAGGUGUACUGUGAGGUAUGCUGGAGGUAUCAGAAGUGCGAAUGCUGACAUAAGUAACGAUAAUGCGGGUGAAAAACCCGCACGCCGGAAGACCAAGGGUUCCUGUCCAACGUUAAUCGGGGCAGGGUGAGUCGACCCCUAAGGCGAGGCUGAAAAGCGUAGUCGAUGGGAAACGGGUUAAUAUUCCCGUACUGGUGGUAACUGCGAUGGGGGAACGGAGAAGGCUAGGUUGUCCGGGCGACGGUCGUCCCGGUUCAAGCAGGUAGGCAGAGUGAUUAGGCAAAUCCGGUCACUUAAUGCUGAGAUGUGAUGACGAACCACCAAGGUGGUGAAGCAAUUGAUGCCCCGCUUCCAGGAAAAGCCUCUAAGCUUCAGGUUACCAACAAUCGUACCCCAAACCGACACAGGUGGUCAGGUAGAGAAUACUCAGGCGCUUGAGAGAACUCGGGUGAAGGAACUAGGCAAAAUGGUGCCGUAACUUCGGGAGAAGGCACGCUGGCGGUAGGUAAAGUCCCUUGCGGACGGCGCUGAAGCCAGUCGAAGAUACCAGCUGGCUGCAACUGUUUAUUAAAAACACAGCACUGUGCAAACACGAAAGUGGACGUAUACGGUGUGACGCCUGCCCGGUGCUGGAAGGUUAAUUGAUGGGGUCAGCCGCAAGGCGAAGCUCCUGAUCGAAGCCCCAGUAAACGGCGGCCGUAACUAUAACGGUCCUAAGGUAGCGAAAUUCCUUGUCGGGUAAGUUCCGACCUGCACGAAUGGCGUAAUGAUGGCCAGGCUGUCUCCACCCGAGACUCAGUGAAAUUGAACUCGCUGUGAAGAUGCAGUGUACCCGCGGCAAGACGGAAAGACCCCGUGAACCUUUACUAUAGCUUGACACUGAACAUUGAGCCUUGAUGUGUAGGAUAGGUGGGAGGCUUUGAAGUGUGGACGCCAGUCUGCAUGGAGCCAACCUUGAAAUACCACCCUUUAACGUUUGAUGUUCUAACCUAGGCCCAUAAACUGGGUCGGGGACCGUGUCUGGUGGGUAGUUUGACUGGGGCGGUCUCCUCCUAAAGAGUAACGGAGGAGCACGAAGGUUGGCUAAGCAUGGUCGGACAUCAUGCGGUUAGUGCAAAGGCAUAAGCCAGCUUGACUGCGAGAGUGACGGCUCGAGCAGGUACGAAAGUAGGUCUUAGUGAUCCGGUGGUUCUGAAUGGAAGGGCCAUCGCUCAACGGAUAAAAGGUACUCCGGGGAUAACAGGCUGAUACCGCCCAAGAGUUCAUAUCGACGGCGGUGUUUGGCACCUCGAUGUCGGCUCAUCACAUCCUGGGGCUGAAGUAGGUCCCAAGGGUAUGGCUGUUCGCCAUUUAAAGUGGUACGCGAGCUGGGUUUAGAACGUCGUGAGACAGUUCGGUCCCUAUCUGCCGUGGGCGUUGGAAGAUUGAGAGGGGUUGCUCCUAGUACGAGAGGACCGGAGUGAACGCACCACUGGUGUUCGGGUUGUCAUGCCAAUGGCAUUGCCCGGUAGCUAAGUGCGGAAGAGAUAACCGCUGAAAGCAUCUAAGCGGGAAACUUGCCUCGAGAUGAGUCUUCCCUGUCGCUUUAAGCGACCUAAAGGAACGUUUAAGACUAAGACGUUGAUAGGCUGGGUGUGUAAGCGUAGCGAUACGUUGAGCUAACCAGUACUAAUGAACCGUGAGGCUUAACCUG